AGAUGCCUGCUCACCACACACUGUAUUCUUAUGCUGACAUUAUAUAGAGAGGAGGUAGAGCAAACCGACCUCCUAUACAGCUUAGCCCAGGCCAUUGUACCUGAUCUGUAUUGUGAAUGGGGAUACAUGG